rnacentral:lncRNA from 1 species
UGGAGCCCAGAUCCAGAGGCUCAGGGGCUAGAGGCCAGUGCAAAUCGUGUGCCUGUCCUUCCCGGGAGGACUCCCAAACUUGGGGGAAACAUCAGGGACAGAAUCUAUACUCCACGUAGGGUGGGGGAGGAAAGCUCUCUUGCAAGAUGGGUUGAUGUAGAUGAGGCUGGAGAGGAUUUUGAAUGCAGCCUGAGGAAGUCUUUUGAGGCCCUAGGAAGCCACGGAAAGUUGGGGAGAAGAAGCAGUACCCUGGAACAUUGUAGAAUUGACUCCCUCUGGCAGAGCACCAGGGCUGAGCCUCUGUGGAACUUCUGCAUGGGAGCCAGGCAGACUGUUCCCUGUGACCCUGGGCUCUCUCACUUGAGAGGUUUCUAAGCAAUUAACCCCCUCAAACGGUGAGGAAACAGCUGGGCCUGGUUGGCACCUUGAAUCCCAGCAUUUGGGAAGCAAAGGCAGGUAGAUCUCUGAGUUCCAGGGCAGCCAGGAGAUCUUACUUGGAAAAAAAAAA